CCUGGGGGUUCCUAAGACAAGGUAGGCCAGCACUUUGAGCUCGUUGCCCAGUACUGACACUGACUGCAUGGCUGCGCUGGAGCUAGCACCCUUUAAAAAUUAUUUGCCAGGUCAUAUUUUCAAUUUGUAAAUUCUUUUGCAGGCACUGUGUCCUGAAGAAACAAGAUGUUUCCAGUCAAGAGCCUCUCUGGAAAGCAACAUGGCUGUUACUAGGUUUGGAGGCAAGUUUCCAGCCUAAUAACACUACUAUUGCUGUCUGCGGAAAGUUGCUGUGCCUGUGAGACUCCCAUACUGAGCAACUUGCCAUAAAGGAGGAACUGUGCUACUGUGCAGAAGUGAGGGCUUUACUCAAAUGGAUGUUUUCCAUAGUAACCACCCCUGUACAACCAUGCCAUCUGCCUGUCUGCCUCCCAGCUCCAAAUUCAGUGCAACAUCCACCUUGAGCCAAAUUUGAGAGAGGUGCAACAUUCUCAAAGAUGGUAAGUUAUUACAAGUUCAUUGGAAAAUUAGCAGCCUAAAAGUGGAAAGAAGCCAAAUUUA
rnacentral:lncRNA from 1 species